GUACAUUAGUGCUUGCGCACGACAAACGUUUUCAUUCCAUUCGAGUGUGUGUGUAAAAAUCCUCUGCCAGCCGAAGCUAGCAAGAGGCCAAAGGUUCACAGGGUAUUGGAUGAAAGCCACCAACGUGCACUUGCAAAAGCCAGCACCGAAGGCAACCAUUCGCAAUCUUUAAUGAUCCUUCCGCAGGUUCACCUACGGAAA
rnacentral:misc_RNA from 1 species